UCAAGAGAUUGUUUAGUAUACUGUAACCUCAAUGAUGAACGCUUGAAAUGAUCAUGACAUGAAUGAGACGCUUUCAUAUCAGUAGUCCGUUCUGAGCCCAACACAGAGGUGAAUGUAAUCUAACCGUUGUGCAAGAGAUUGCAUAGUUUCAGUUCCAAUCAAUAUUUUAAUUGGUUCCCUGUACAUAUGCAAAACACAUCAUAUAAUAAGAAGACUCUAGCAGUUUAUCAAACAGACACAUUUUUUUUUACAUUGAUAGGUGUAUGGAAAUUAACUAGGGUGUAUACACCAUUGGCACGUGACUGCUCUAAGCCAAUCGGAUUAGGUCAUUUUUGUUGGAAUGGAGAUAUAAUAUUAUCUUCGGAUCUUGGUCAAGCAUUGGGCAGGUUGGCAUGGUCAAGGUGGUUAUUCUGUGAUACCACCAAAUGAAAAGAAGAGACAGCAGAUUAUUCAGAUUGCUCAAAAGGAGGAGAAAGCUCUCCAGGAACACAGACAAAGGAACACCCAGACAUCAUUUAGCUAUGUGGG